rnacentral:rRNA from 1 species
ACGAACGCUGGCGGCAGGCUUAACACAUGCAAGUCGAACGCUCCGCAAGGAGAGUGGCAGACGGGUGAGUAACACGUGGGAACGUACCCUUUACUACGGAACAACUCCGGGAAACUGGAGCUAAUACCGUAUGUGCCCUUCGGGGGAAAGAUUUAUCGGUAAAGGAUCGGCCCGCGUUGGAUUAGCUAGUUGGUGGGGUAAAGGCCUACCAAGGCGACGAUCCAUAGCUGGUCUGAGAGGAUGAUCAGCCACAUUGGGACUGAGACACGGCCCAAACUCCUACGGGAGGCAGCAGUGGGGAAUAUUGGACAAUGGGCGCAAGCCUGAUCCAGCCAUGCCGCGUGAGUGAUGAAGGCCUUAGGGUUGUAAAGCUCUUUCACCGGAGAAGAUAAUGA